UACGUAGGGUGCGAGCGUUGUCCGGAAUUAUUGGGCAUAAAGAGCUUGUAGGCGGUUUGUCGCGUCUGCCGUGAAAUUUCGGGGCUCAACCCCGAACUUGCGGUGGGUACGGGCAGACUAGAGUGUGGUAGGGGAGACUGGAAUUCCUGGUGUAGCGGUGAAAUGCGCAGAUAUCAGGAGGAACACCGAUGGCGAAGGCAGGUCUCUGGGCCACUACUGACGCUGAGAAGCGAAAGCAUGGGGAGCGAACAGG
rnacentral:rRNA from 1 species